AUAUAAACGUUGAAAAGAUAAGUACAUCUUUGAAUCUUAGUUAGAGAGCUCGUGUUUGGUGAAAGCGGGUAAGAUAAUUAGUUGGAAAAUGGUCUUGGAGUUUUUUACGGAUACGAGCAAGCGAACACUCAUAUGUGUUACGCGGUAAGUUGAAAUCGGGCGUCCCCGUUACUGGACAACGUAUAAACCAAAGCUUUCACAGAUGUUCUCGACGAAAUUUUUUGGCGUACGUUUGGAGGUGUAAACUUGCAAUGUUUACAUAAAUACCGGGUGGUAACACGUCAAUUAACGUCCCGUAG
rfam:Leuconostoc mesenteroides subsp. mesenteroides ATCC 8293, complete genome.